rnacentral:rRNA from 1 species
AUUGAACGCUAGCGGCAUGCUUAACACAUGCAAGUCGAACGGUAGCAGACCUAGCUUGCUAGGUGCUGACGAGUGGCGGACGGGUGAGUAACGCGUAGGAAUUUACCUUGUAGAGGGGGAUAACUUGGGGAAACUCAAGCUAAUACCGCAUAAGCCCGCGAGGGGAAAGUUUGGGAACGAAAGGCCGGACGCUAUGAGAUGAGCCUUCGUCAGAUUAGCUAGUUGGUAGGGUAAAGGCCUACCAAGGCGAAGAUCUGUAGCUGGUCUGAGAGGACGACCAGCCACACUGGGACUGAGACACGGCCCAGACGCCUACGGGAGGCAGCAGUGGGGAAUAUUGGACAAUGGGCGAAAGCCUGAUCCAGCAAUGCCGCGUGUGUGAAGAAGGCCUGCGGGUUGUAAAGCACUUUCGGUGAGGAGGAAGUUGUUGUGGUGAAUAGCCAUGAUGAUUGACGUUACUCACAGAAGAAGCACCGGCUAACUCUGUGCCAGCAGCCGCGGUAA